CAGGAACGGGUGUGCGUUAUGAGUUUUGUCCACCUUUGUGCCUUGUGGUUGCUCACCCCAGUUUUUCAUCAUUUCAGAUAAUCAUGAAAAGACGAUGUGGGCAAGGAUAAAUAAACAGCAGGACAAAAUGAGUUUAAGAACUGGCAGCUGGUUUUGGCCUCACAUGGACCCCUCUGAGUCCUCUCUGGGCUGGAAGCUGAUUCCAGGGCAGCAUCUUUUUGCCUGGUACCCCUCAAAUCCACAACCCAAAACUGAUUACAAUCAGCAUUUCUCAACAUUCAGAAUGAAACUCAGGGUUACUUCAGACUUCAUGGAUUUGUGCCCAGUCCACAUGUACAACCAACCAGUUUGACUCAUAACUAGUUUAAUGCCUUGGUGUUUGGCUGGCUUAGCUUACAAACUUCUCUAGGAGAGGCCUUCUUUUGCAUCUUCUCAACACCCAGGGAUUUAAUAAAUUCUUGUCGACUGAAUGAAGGAAUGAGUGGUUAGCAAAGAACCAGUCAGUUGUGUCAAAGGUGCCAAUUUGACUGUGUUUAGACUCAAUCCAUUAAAAAAAAAAAUCAGCUAUUUGGGUAAGGUCCCUACUCUGUCUCCAAAGUUCAGAAUUUGAGGGAAACCUUUUAUAAUCUUACCAGGAUCCAGGCUGUGUUCUUUGAUCAGUUAAGGGAAAAAAUACCAACUGUCAGGCAUAACCCAACAUUUUGGGAAGGCUUCCACAGUGAUGUCUGAACCCCAGUGCUCCAAAAAGGUUUUAUCCCUCCUGUGGAUGGCAGACAAUAUGCUUGCUGAUGCAGCCGGUGAUAUAAUUAAACUUUUGACCACAUGCAUGACUUUAAGCGAAAAAGUGGCUAAAGCUCUGUGUCUAACGUGAUUGAAGGGUGGAAUCCGAUGCUGAGGCUCCCCCAACUAAUCUCUCCUUUCAGAGUUCUCUAGAAACAGCCCUUCUGGGGGUCCAGAGUUUACAAUAAGACCCUUUUAUACUUAAAAUGUCAGCAGAACACUAAGACCAGCUCUUCCCGAUACACGAAGGGGUAAGCCUAUCCAUUCUUUACUCUUGACAUUUGGUCUAAUUCUAUCUCAGAUAAGUGGGUAUUGGAUGUAAUCCAGCUGGAGUGGGGCAUCCUAAAAUUUCCCGGUUUCUGUGUUCCGUUAGGAUCCAUCCCUUACUGUUAAAACUUCACAGGGUUUUCUCUGUCUGGAAAGGGAACGUAGCUCGUCUUUUUUUGGCCUGCAGUAGUAUCUGAUAUUUAGAUUUCGUAGGAACUAUGAAAUGUUGUUCAUAGACAAAACAGCCCAGCUGAGAAACUGACUUCAUCUGGGAAUGGCAGAUUUCCCCUUUUCCCAGGCUCCUUUCUCAAGCAAGGUUUGAGUUUUACAUUCACAAUCGACUCGUUUUGGAGUGACCAGGUGGCUGGAGCGCCUCUACAAACCUCCCCCAGGGCCUGAGGAAAUCUGUAUUGGCAUUUAUGUUGGUCAUUUUGCAGGUGAAAGGUAUUUUGAUUUACAUUUCACAAUCUGAUCUGCUGCCAGCCAAGGGUGAAAAACUGGUGCAACUCGCCACUGGGUCUUUUUGAACCAAGAGUGAAAUCUAUAGACUUAACUAUUCGCCUAAAUGCUCUGACUCAGGCUUAGCUAGAUGGGCAGGUUGAAACAGGGUUCUGUGUUUUGGACCAGAGAUAACCCUGGAAUGCUGAUCUAUGGAGUGAGGGAAGUUUAUGUGCGAGGUGACUUGACUAUCACUUGGUGGAUUAGAGGAAAGGUUUCAUCUCACUUAAGUACUGUAUAGUCUAAGCAGUUCUCCUGAGAUUCUAAAGGAAGGAGGCUUAGUGUUUGAGUUAAAUAACACCAAGGCAAGUUUCUCUGUUCAUGUUCCCUCAUCUUCACAAACUGAAGAAUUUUGAGAUUAACAGCCUUAUAAGAGCCUUUAUAAACAACCGUUGUAUUUUCCCAUCACUCAAGUCUACUCCAACUUGAUAGGUAAACAGAUUGUUCAUUGAUAAAGUGAUAUAUAUACAGCCUUUAUUUUCAUGGGUAAGCUUAGGGUCAGGAAAAUAUCUGAAUUAGUCUUUCUGAAGACAAUUGAAAGAAAUGUCAGCAUAGUUCCUGAUGAUGUAUUUUUAAUGUAAUUCUUUUGUAUUUGGCAUGAUUCAAAAUUGAUUUUAUGAAUAAGGCUGCAGAUUAACCUUUCUGUAACAGGCUGGAAAAAUGAUCACUUGAAAACAUAGUGCCCCCUAAUAGCAUUCUUUGUAGCAAUCAGAGAUAAUCUGCUUGUGUUCAGUCAAGUUAUUAGCUCAUUUCCUUAAGCCGUUUCCUAAACAUAUUAUCUGAUUGCCAGGAUGGUCCCACUUAUUGGAUUGAGGGAUAGUUCCUUUACUGGAUGUAACUUUUCUCAGUUAAAAAAAAAAAAUAGGAUACUGACCAUAGAAAUGGACAUUCUGUUAGAAUGCUGUGGUAAGAACAGGAAACUAGAAAACAUUAUUUGAAAAGAACCCAUUUUGUACCAUGCAGUGCCUUUGGAGAACCAAACAUUUGUUUUAGAUGAGUUCUGGGCUGUCAUCAUUUUGGACAGGUAUUCUUGGGUGAGUGUUUAACAUGAUCAUUUAAAUUACUGUUUGCCUGGCAUUUCUUCCUUAAGGAAAUGAGGCAGUUCACAGAAAAGAAAUUAAAUAAAUCUCUUCUUUUUAUUGCCUUUGAGAUUUCCAUGAAAACUUUUAUUUCUGGGGACCGCUAAGUAUAUUUGCUAUCGGCAAAUGCUGAUGUUCUUUUAACUAAAUGAUUUUGGAAACUGGUGGAAGUAGGUCAUGCUAAAUAGUGGGGAUCCUAGACGUGUGUCUUUUUUCUUUUUGAUGUCCUCUUCCCUGACACAUUGCAUUUUUACUAACACUUGUCAUUUCUCGGGUCCAGUUUUCCUAGUGGGUUGUAAAGUCCUUGAUGCUAGGGACCAUGUGCUGUAAGCUACUUGUUUUCAUUGUGCAUAGUAGGUUUAAAAAGGAGUAUUUUCUAGUUUUUAGGAUCUCACAGAUCAUGACUAACUUACAUGGGAAGAAAAAAAUCCAGGUAAAAUUUACCACAAUGUCACCAACUUGUGAAAAUAUUAAUAGAAAUAAUAAAUUCUACAUAACAAGUGUCUCAACUUUAUGAAGUAGAGGGUUAAAAGAAGUUUACACAUGUUUGAAAGAUUGCUAGAAAACAGUUUUUUUUUUCUUUGGAAAAUAUAGUAUGUGUCCUGGCAACCUCAGAACAAGCCAGACAUUUUGAGGAGGUAUCUAGUUAGGUUUCUAGACUUUAAAUGCAGCUGAAUGUUCUUAAAAUUUUUACUGGGGUCAGUCUGUUUAUAAAAUAAGAUUUUUUUUCUGGUUAUUCAAGAUGACUUCCUAUCUGUUGGGGGAAGAAUUUCUUAGAGCUUAAGAGCUGUUUUUCACCCCUCGGAUCUUUUUGAUUAACCGUUACAUUUAUACCUCCAGAAAGGGACCAAAGAAAAAUUCUGUUUUUAUUCUUUGUUGCAUUUGAAGAAUUAAUGGCAAAGAACAUCAUGCAUUGUAGGAAAUGAUUUUUCAUGUUAGCAUAGCAAAGCGGAGCAAGUGCCCUCUGCUGUGGCUUUUUACCAUAUUAGACAGGGAUGUCCUUCAACGUCUUUGGUGAUGAUGGGCAUAAAUCAAAUUGAGAACAGUGGUAUGUAGUGAAUUUAGCACAACUGCAUUUUUUAAUAUGUAAGUAGGCUUAGGUUUUUAUCUCCCUUAUCUUAAGCCCCGUCAAGAUCAAACUCAAGCAAGCAUUCACAUCCACAAUUGAAUCUCACCAGCCUUUUUCUUUAAGUUAACAUUAGUUCAAACUCUCCCCACUGCUUCUGUCAAUAGAUCUUUUAAAGGCAGGCAUUAGAGUUAAGUUUGCCUUAGUCUUUUUCCCUCCUUCCACAGCUUCAAGCCCAAGGGCUUCUUUUAAUAGGCAUUAGUUAAGGCCCAGAAUUGAGUAGACAUUUGUGAAGGAGACUUGAAGUUUGGAACAGAAUUGGCCUUUAUAGUUUUUCCAUGGGGGGAAAAAAAUCUUCUUAGGAGAAUAAAGGCUGCCUACUAAUCUGCUACCAUCUGGAGAAUGGAGAAGCCAGAGGUUGUUGGCACUAGGUCACAUCCCUUAUGUAAACUGUCAAAUUCUUUUCAUAUUAAUGGCAUAUUGAGCUUAAUCUAAAGGGGUUUGGUAUCAGUCAGAGGUUAUUUGUUGAUUUUUUUUUUUUUUGGCAAGGGAGGGGUCUUAGUAUUGUUACAAUAUGAGAAAAGGACAGUAUCCAAAAACAGAAGUUUAGAUUCAUAAGGCACUUUCCCUCAUACUUACAUGUCACUUAUCAUUUAGUGAUGUUUGAUGCCAUGAUAAAAAUCCACAGAAUUCUUCCAAGCAACUUUUUUGUACCAGACCAUAUUGGGAAAAGUUUGAAUAGGUCUCAAAUUCACUAAGAAGGCCAGUUGAUAGCUAUCAUGCUUAUCCCCACAUGUGAAAUAAAGCAAGCAUGAUCCUACGAUUCUGUUUUUUUCUUAAAGAUUAUUUUGUACAUAUGUGCAUUAGAGUAUAAAUAUAGAUAUGUAUUUUUGUGCUUUAGGGUAUAAGAGAAUAGCUAAAAUCCUACCAAGUCUAAUGAGGCUCCUGCUAUCUGAGUGGUAAAGAAUAAAAAUCUUAUAUUUUGAUUAUGAAACCUUCAGCCUCCUUGGACAUGGGGCCAAACAGAUGGCACAUGUCUUGACAGUUCAUUCAAAGCAGAGGCUUGUUCCCCAAACUGGUAGGGAUUGAUUUUGUUCAUUCUAAAACUGCUCUGUUCUCCCCUCUUAUAAAUAAGAAUAGAAUAGACCCACACACUCACUGUCAGACCUUUUGAUAGGUAAAGGUUGAACUGUGUAAACCACAGCAUGGAAGCUCAAAUAAUCAUGUUAUUCCUGGGGAUGGACGUCUAUGGUACAAGCUAAAAAAAAAAAAAAAAAGUGGUUUUCACCUGGACAGCCGUUUGGUUGCGUCAGUGAUAUGAAGAAAUGUAACCUAAAAAUUUCAGCAAGGAUGAUUAAAUAAAGAACAAGCCCUGAGAUUUCUAGCUUUUGGAAAUUAUUUUUAAAUUCUGAAAUGAGAGCAUUUGUCCUUGGGGCCUGUGUGCCACUGGCAUUUCUUACCCCCCUGGUUUCAUAUGUAAACCAGAAAAUGAAAACCAAACCAAAUGACCCAAAGGAGAUGAAGCAUGUUUGUUUUGCCCAUUAUAUUUCUCUGCUCACGCCUAGAUGCCUUGCCUUCUCUGUCCCCUGUGUUUGAAGUUGAGAGCUGGGAACAGACAGGAGAUUGAGGUCCCAGGGAGAAGCUAAGUUCAGCCUGAGCUGGUGAACUCACUGAGACUAAGGGCAGAUAACGUGAGCUAAAGAUACUCAUGUAUGACAUUUGUGCCAGUAGGGGAGAGACCCUCUGGGCCUUUAUGAACAGGUUUCUCUUUGGUUGUCUUAGCUGAUGGAGCCUAGCUGAACGUCUUGGCAGUGUUCCUUAAGUAAGCAUCUCCAAUUGAUGACAGUGGGAAUGAGCUUACACAGAAGCCCGCAUUACAUAGGAUUUUCUGCUGAAGACAUUGGAUGCUAUGAUUUUUGAGGGCAAUCAUUUUAGGGGGCAGUGAGCUGAUACUAUAAAACAACAGGGUGAUUUUGUAAGAGCUUAACAGAAAAAGAAAUGGAAAAGAACUGGAUGAAAAGGAAGGGAAGUAAAAACUUGGGAGGGACAUGAAAAUGUGUGUGUGCAUGGUAGUAUCAUGUACAAGAGAAACAAUGGGAGUGCAAAACUGAUUUUAGUCUUCUAUUUUGUUGGCAGUAAGUUCUGACCUAAUGUUGGAAUGCAUUUUAAUCAAGCACUACAGCGUCCUAGGCUAAGGAUUGAAAUAAUUACUAUUAAGAAUGUCCUGAUAAACUCUUGCCUUUAAAAGGGUAGGCAGGAUUUCCUCCAGUGAAAAAGCGGGGUAUAUGCAAGUGACUUAAGAAUCUUUUUAUGGUCCCUUUUGUGUCCCCCCUCCUGCCUAACUUUCUCAACUUCUCACAUGCAAAAUAGCAAUCAGGUUUGUAUUCAUUCUUUUCAGCCUGCUUGGAAUCUAUCUGACUGCACAGAACCGUGACUGGACAAAGAUUGUGGCUUUGGGCAGUGACUGUGCUAUGACAGGACCUUUUGCUCCCAUUGUGUGCCUUACAAGAGACUCUCUUUGCCCGAGUUCGUUGCCCCUUCCUGGCCUCCUCCAAAGGGAUUUGCAGGCUGUCUGGAGCUGGACCAAGAGGCGGAGUUCGGCCCAGCUGCCAGCAGGGGGUGCCCUUGCCAGAUAAGAACAGGUUUGUCUGUGCCAGAGCCGCUCAAAUCAGGUUCUCUGCCAGUCUGGCCUUUUCAGUCAAUUUGGCCCCAGAUUCGACCCCAGAAGCAUUUUAUUUUGCCCUCUCAGGUCCUGGCCCACACCUGUAUGACUGUGCUGUCCACAUUGCUGCUUUCAAUUUCUUUUUGUUGUUAACAGUAGGCUGUGCUUUGCUAUAGCUGCUGUCUGGUCACCUUUUACUUAGAAAUUGGAGAGUGGUUUUCUUUCCCUCUCCCUGUAUCUCAGGUCAAGUUGAAGGGCACAGUCACCUGCGGGGAACAGGACCAAGUGUGUUCAUUGAGCAUUUUGCUGUUUUACAUGACCUAGCCAUAAAGGAAUGUCUAUGGGAAAGGAGAAACCUGUUUCAUAACACAGUUGCAGAGCUUUGUUUUCUCUCAUCAGGGUGACAGCCCUUUGGUUUCUGCCAGUGGGUAUGCGGCGGGAAGGUGGGGAAACUGGAUCAUGAAAAUUCCACGGGCUGGUGAUUGCUCAUUCUUUAGCCUUGUAGCCGGGAGGAUACUGUCUGGUUCCCAGGGUGGCUCAGUACAGUAUUUAAAUCAGAGAGCCCAAACCUAUGUGAUCAGCAUCUUACUCUUAAAAAAAAAAAAAAAAAAAGGAAGACCCUUGGCAAUUUUUAAGCAGCUUCAGCGUGGUCUGGUGGUAGGGGGUGAUUGGAGGAAGUGUUUUGUUUCUUGAAUCUUGGAUUCAGUGUACUUGUUGACUGUGCUGUGCUGGAUAAUGCUUUCCCCAGACAGCGAGCCAUCUGCGCAGGGGAAGUUCACAGCACACACCCGGGGCUCGUUACCACAAUGUGGUGCUUCAUUACUGAGCCUUUCCUUGAAUGCCUGAGCCACUAGGUUCCUGUGCCCUCUGCCCCACAUUGGAUUACAAGCUGCCCCGACGCUGGAGCGAUUCCCACUCUGGCUGGGGCAGACACGAGAGCAGAAACCCUACAGCAGGUGCCGAUGCUUUGGAUGUCCUUUUGUGCAGGCACCCGAGCAGUCUUCCCUACUCGCUCACUCACUGCCCCCCAACCCCUGCUGCUCCAUGUUCCCAA